GGUUCAAAUGCCCUCUGGGCUGUGGGAGCUCACAGCUCUCUGCUCACACAGGGCUGAGCUCUCUGGGAAGGCAGGUGUGGUCUAGAAGAUGAGGCUGCUGGGUCUUCUCCUGUGCCUGGUCACAGCUCCCCAAGGUGUCCUGUGCCAGGUGCAGCUGCAGGAGUCAGGACCUGGCCUGGUGAAGCCCUCAGAGACACUGUCCCUCACCUGUACUGUGUCUGGAUUCUCCAUCACAACCACUGGUUACUGCUGGAACUGGAUCCGUCAGCCCCCAGGGAAGGGGCUGGAGUGGAUAGGGUACAUAAGUUAUGGUGGUAGCACUUACUACAGUCCAUCCCUCAAGAGCCGAGUGUCCAUCUCCAGAGACACGUCCAAGAACCAGUACUCCCUGCAAAUGAGCAGCCUGACAGCUGAGGACACGGCCACCUAUUACUGUGCCAGAGACACAGUGAGGGGACCUCACUGCAAAUGCGAUGUUGCUGGUGUGGAGCUGGGAGGUGCACAGAAAGUAGGGCACCGUGGGGCACCGCUCGCCAUGGGAGGUGACGGCAUGCGGGCAGACUCGGAGCUGGAGACCGUGAUUCUGCAGUGA